rnacentral:rRNA from 1 species
UACGUAGGGGGCAAGCGUUGUCCGGAUUUAUUGGGCGUAAAGAGCGUGUAGGCGGCCAUGCAGGUCAGCUGUGAAAACUCGAGGCUCAACCUCGAGACGUCGGUUGAAACCGCUUGGCUAGAGUCCGGAAGAGGAGAGUGGAAUUCCCGGUGUAGCGGCGAAAUGCGCAGAUAUCGGGAAGAACACCCGUGGCGAAGGCGGCUCUCUGGGACGGUACUGACGCUGAGACGCGAAAGCGUGGGGAGCGAACAGG